rnacentral:rRNA from 1 species
UACGUAGGCAGCGAGCGUUAUCCGGAUUUACUGGGUUUAAAGGGUGCGCAGGCGGAUAUGUAAGUCAGUGGUGAAAUCUCCGGGCUUAACCCGGAAAUUGCCGUUGAUACUAUAUAUCUUGAAUGCUGUGGAGGUAAGCGGAAUAUGUCAUGUAGCGGUGAAAUGCGUAGAUAUCGGGAGGAACACCUGAGGCGAAGGCGGGUUACUGGGCUGAUACUGACGCUGAUGCGCGAAAGCCAGGGGAGCAAACGGG